rnacentral:rRNA from 1 species
GACGAACCGUCCAAACGUUAUUCGGAAUCACUGGGCUUACAGAGUUCGUAGGCGGUCUGGAAAGUUAGGUGUGAAAUCCCUCGGCUCAACCGAGGAACUGCGCUUGAAACUACCAGACUCGAGGGAGAUAGAGGAAAGCGGAACUGAUGGUGGAGCGGUGAAAUGCGUUGAUAUCAUCAGGAACACCGGUGGCGAAGGCGGCUUUCUGGGUCUUACCUGACGCUGAGGAACGAAAGCCAGGGGAGCGAACGGG